rnacentral:rRNA from 1 species
GAUGAACGCUGGCGGUGGGCCUAACACAUGCAAGUCGAACGGCAACACCCUAAGAGCUUGCUCUUACGGGUGGCGGGUGGCGGACGGGUGAGGUAUGCAUCGUAAUCUACUUUUUCGUGGGGGAUCACGUAGGGAAACUUACUCUAAUACCGCAUACGACCUACCGGUGAAGGCAUUGGAUCUUCGGACCUUUCGCGAUUGAAUUAGCCGAUGUCGGAUUAGCUAGUUGGAGGGGUAAAGGCCCACCAAGGCGACGAUCCGUAGCUGGUCUGAGAGGAUGAUAAGCCACACUGGAACUGAGACACGGUCCAGACGCCUAAGGGAGGCAGCAGUGGGGAAUAUUGGGCAAUGGGCGGAAGCCUGAUACAGCCAGACCGCGUGGGUGAAGAAGGCCUUCGGGUCGGAAAGCCCUGUUGUUGGGAAAGAGAAGCAGCAGGUUAAGACCAAGCGGUAGUGACGGUACCAAAAGAAGAAGCACCGGCUAACUACGUG